AAUCCAUAGGUUAAUGAGGCGAACCGGGGGAACUGAAACAUCUAAGUACCCCGAGGAAAAGAAAUCAACCGAGAUUCCCCCAGUAGCGGCGAGCGAACGGGGAGGAGCCCAGAGCCUGAAUCAGCAUGUGUGUUAGUGGAAGCGUCUGGAAAGGCGCGCGAUACAGGGUGACAGCCCCGUACACAAAAGCGCAUGUGCUGUGAGCUCGAUGAGUAGGGCGGGACACGUGGUAUCCUGUCUGAAUAUGGGGGGACCAUCCUCCAAGGCUAAAUACUCCUGACUGACCGAUAGUGAACCAGUACCGUGAGGGAAAGGCGAAAAGAACCCCGGCGAGGGGAGUGAAAAAGAACCUGAAACCGUGUACGUACAAGCAGUGGGAGCACCCUUUGGGUGUGACUGCGUACCUUUUGUAUAAUGGGUCAGCGACUUAUAUUCUGUAGCAAGGUUAACCGAAUAGGGGAGCCGGAGGGAAACCGAGUCUUAACCGGGCGUUAAGUUGCAGGGUAUAGACCCGAAACCCGGUGAUCUAGCCAUGGGCAGGUUGAAGGUUGGGUAACACUAACUGGAGGACCGAACCGACUAAUGUUGAAAAAUUAGCGGAUGACCUGUGGCUGGGGGUGAAAGGCCAAUCAAACCGGGAGAUAGCUGGUUCUCCCCGAAAGCUAUUUAGGUAGCGCCUCGUGAAUUCAUCUCCGGGGGUAGAGCACUGUUUCGGCUAGGGGGCCAUCCCGGCUUACCAACCCGAUGCAAACUGCGAAUACCGGAGAAUGUUAUCACGGGAGACACACGGCGGGUGCUAACGUCCGUCGUGAAGAGGGAAACAACCCAGACCGCCAGCUAAGGUCCCAAAGUCAUGGUUAAGUGGGAAACGAUGUGGGAAGGCCCAGACAGCCAGGAUGUUGGCUUAGAAGCAGCCAUCAUUUAAAGAAAGCGUAAUAGCUCACUGGUCGAGUCGGCCUGCGCGGAAGAUGUAACGGGGCUAAACCAUGCACCGAAGCUGCGGCAGCGACACUGUGUGUUGUUGGGUAGGGGAGCGUUCUGUAAGCCUGUGAAGGUGUGUCGUGAGGCAUGCUGGAGGUAUCAGAAGUGCGAAUGCUGACAUAAGUAACGAUAAAGCGGGUGAAAAGCCCGCUCGCCGGAAGACCAAGGGUUCCUGUCCAACGUUAAUCGGGGCAGGGUGAGUCGACCCCUAAGGCGAGGCCGAAAGGCGUAGUCGAUGGGAAACGGGUUAAUAUUCCCGUACUUGGUGUUACUGCGAAGGGGGGACGGAGAAGGCUAUGUUGGCCGGGCGACGGUUGUCCCGGUUUAAGCGUGUAGGUGUGUGUUCCAGGUAAAUCCGGUUCACUUUAACACUGAGGCGUGACGACGAGGCACUACGGUGCUGAAGCAACAAAUGCCCUGCUUCCAGGAAAAGCCUCUAAGCAUCAGGUAACAUCAAAUCGUACCCCAAACCGACACAGGUGGUCAGGUAGAGAAUACCAAGGCGCUUGAGAGAACUCGGGUGAAGGAACUAGGCAAAAUGGUGCCGUAACUUCGGGAGAAGGCACGCUGACACGUAGGUGAAGUGAUUUACUCAUGGAGCUGAAGUCAGUCGAAGAUACCAGCUGGCUGCAACUGUUUAUUAAAAACACAGCACUGUGCAAACACGAAAGUGGACGUAUACGGUGUGACGCCUGCCCGGUGCCGGAAGGUUAAUUGAUGGGGUCAGCGCAAGCGAAGCUCCUGAUCGAAGCCCCGGUAAACGGCGGCCGUAACUAUAACGGUCCUAAGGUAGCGAAAUUCCUUGUCGGGUAAGUUCCGACCUGCACGAAUGGCGUAAUGAUGGCCAGGCUGUCUCCACCCGAGACUCAGUGAAAUUGAACUCGCUGUGAAGAUGCAGUGUACCCGCGGCAAGACGGAAAGACCCCGUGAACCUUUACUAUAGCUUGACACUGAACAUUGAGCCUUGAUGUGUAGGAUAGGUGGGAGGCUUUGAAGUGUGGACGCCAGUCUGCAUGGAGCCGACCUUGAAAUACCACCCUUUAAUGUUUGAUGUUCUAACGUGGACCCGUUACCCGGGUUGCGGACAGUGUCUGGUGGGUAGUUUGACUGGGGCGGUCUCCUCCUAAAGAGUAACGGAGGAGCACGAAGGUUGGCUAAUCCUGGUCGGACAUCAGGAGGUUAGUGCAAUGGCAUAAGCCAGCUUGACUGCGAGCGUGACGGCGCGAGCAGGUGCGAAAGCAGGUCAUAGUGAUCCGGUGGUUCUGAAUGGAAGGGCCAUCGCUCAACGGAUAAAAGGUACUCCGGGGAUAACAGGCUGAUACCGCCCAAGAGUUCAUAUCGACGGCGGUGUUUGGCACCUCGAUGUCGGCUCAUCACAUCCUGGGGCUGAAGUAGGUCCCAAGGGUAUGGCUGUUCGCCAUUUAAAGUGGUACGCGAGCUGGGUUUAGAACGUCGUGAGACAGUUCGGUCCCUAUCUGCCGUGGGCGCUGGAGAACUGAGGGGGGCUGCUCCUAGUACGAGAGGACCGGAGUGGACGCAUCACUGGUGUUCGGGUUGUCAUGCCAAUGGCACUGCCCGGUAGCUAAAUGCGGAAGAGAUAAGUGCUGAAAGCAUCUAAGCACGAAACUUGCCCCGAGAUGAGUUCUCCCUGAGACUUAGAGUCUCCUGAAGGAACGUUGAAGACGACGACGUUGAU
rnacentral:rRNA from 1 species